GACGAACGCUGGCGGCGUGCUUAACACAUGCAAGUCGAACGGAAAGGCCCUGCUUUUGUGGGGUGCUCGAGUGGCGAACGGGUGAGUAACACGUGAGUAACCUGCCCUUGACUUUGGGAUAACUUCAGGAAACUGGGGCUAAUACCGGAUAGGAGCUCCUGCUGCAUGGUGGGGGUUGGAAAGUUUCGGCGGUUGGGGAUGGACUCGCGGCUUAUCAGCUUGUUGGUGGGGUAGUGGCUUACCAAGGCUUUGACGGGUAGCCGGCCUGAGAGGGUGACCGGCCACAUUGGGACUGAGAUACGGCCCAGACUCCUACGGGAGGCAGCAGUGGGGAAUAUUGCACAAUGGGCGGGAGCCGGAUGCAGCAACGCCGCGUGCGGGAUGACGGCCUUCGGGUUGUAAACCGCUUUCGCCUGUGACGAAGCGUGAGUGACGGUAACGGGGAAAGAAGCACCGGCUAACUACGU
rnacentral:rRNA from 1 species